rnacentral:rRNA from 1 species
AGGAUUAACGCUGGCGGCGUGCCUAACACAUGCAAGUCGAGCGCCCCGCAAGGGGAGCGGCAGACGGGUGAGUAACGCGUGGGAACAUACCCUCCGGUUCGGAAUAGCUCAGGGAAACUUGGAUUAAUACCGGAUACGGCCUAGCGGCGAAAGAUUCAUCGCCGGAGGAUUGGCCCGCGUUCGAUUAGCUAGUUGGUGAGGUAACGGCUCACCAAGGCGACGAUCGAUAGCUGGUCUGAGAGGAUGAUCAGCCACAUUGGGACUGAGACACGGCCCAAACUCCUACGGGAGGCAGCAGUGGGGAAUAUUGGACAAUGGGCGCAAGCCUGAUCCAGCCAUGCCGCGUGAGUGAUGACGGCCCUAGGGUUGUAAAGCUCUUUCGCUAGGGACGAUAAUGACGGUACCUAGACAAGAAGCCCCGGCUAACUUCGUGCCAGCAGCCGC